rnacentral:tRNA from 1 species
GUCCAGGGGGUAGCCUAGUGGACAUGGCAUCUGCCCGGUAAGCGGAACACUGUGGGUUCGAUUUCCAUCACUGGACU